rnacentral:rRNA from 1 species
AGAGACUGACCCAGCCAUGCCGCGUGCAGGAUGAAGGCUUUCUGAAGUCGUAAACUGCUUUUGCCAGGGAAGAAAAAAGGGUAUGCGUCCUCUACUGACGGUACCUGGUGAAUAAGCACCGGCUAACUCCGUGCCAGCAGCCGCGGUAAUACGGAGGGUGCAAGCGUUGUCCGGAUUUAUUGGGUUUAAAGGGUGCGUAGGCGGCUGAUUAAGUCUGGGGUGAAAGCCCGUUGCUCAACAACGGAACUGCCCUGGAAACUGGUCAGCUUGAGUACAGACGAGGGUGGCGGAAUGGAUGCUGUAGCGGUGAAAUGCAUAGAUAGCAUCCAGAACCCCGAUUGCGAAGGCAGCUGCCUAGACUGUAACUGACGCUGAGGCACGAAAGCGUGGGGAGCGAACAGGAUUAGAUACCCUGGUAGUCCACGCCGUAAACGAUGGAUACUCGCUGGUGGCGAUAGAUGGUCACUGGCUUAGCGAAAGCGUUAAGUAUCCCACCUGGGGAGUACGCUCGCAAGAGUGAAACUCAAAAGAAUUGACGGGGGCCCGCACAAGUGGUGGAGCAUGUGGUUUAAUUCGAUGAUACGCGAGGAACCUUACCUAGGCUAGAAUGCGCGUGACCGAUUCAGAGAUGAAUCUUUCCUUCGGGACACAAAGCAAGGUGCUGCAUGGCCGUCGUCAGCUCGUGCCGUGAGGUGUUGGGUUAAGUCCCGCAACGAGCGCAACCCCUAUGUUUAGUUGCCAGCAUGUCAUGAUGGGGACUCUAGACAGACUGCCUGCGCAAGCAGUGAGGAAGGCGGGGACGACGUCAGGUCAUCAUGGCCCUUACGCCUAGGGCUACACACGUGCUACAAUGGACGGUACAGCGGGUUGCCAACCAGCGAUGGUGCGCCAAUCCCGAAAAGCCGUUCUCAGUUCGGAUCGGAGUCUGCAACUCGACUCCGUGAAGCUGGAAUCACUAGUAAUCGCGUAUCAGCAAUGACGCGGUGAAUACGUUCCCGGGCCUUGUACACACCGCCCGUCAAGCCAUGAAAGUCUGGUAGACCUGAAGCCGGUGCUCCGCAACGAAGCCGGUUAGGGUAGAACAGGUAAUUAGGGCUAAGUCGUAA